UUUUUUUUUUUUUUGGUGAUGGAUGAGUCAAAUUGCAGUUGGCUUGUCUUGAUUGUAAAUUGUUCAGUUCCAGUUUGUAUUUUGAACGAUGAUGCAUAUCAUGAUUUCUUGCAGCAUGCCUCGCUUUAUCUGAUUUCAUUUUAUGCCUUUGCUUGAACCAACCACGGCAGAUUACUGAAUAUUGAAAUUCUUGGGAAGCAAUGUAUGAAUUUUGACCAGAGUAUAUCUGCGGCAUGCUUGGAGUUUCAGUUUCUAUGAGUGGGCUCAGCUGCCCAGAUUCAUUGAUCUCAACGGUUGGUUUCAUAUGUGUAAAUUUCACAAAGCUGUGAUUAUUUGAAGUCCCAUACAGCUUACCUCCUGUCUAGUCGUCAGGUGGGCCACGACGUACAUCGAAUCACCAUUUUUAUCUGUCCCUUUUUUCAGUACACGUGUGGCUCACACACUAGCCUGAUUAUUGGACUAGGCACAUUCAUUGUGGGGCCCGCCUGAUGAGUGACGAACUGCUUGGAUGUGUCACCGAACUGCCACAUUGUGCUAGCGUUGGCAUUUCUUUCUGGAGAGCAAUUGUAGUGGAGCUGUGCAAAAGUGGGCCCAUGUGGUCUCCAUAUGCCAUCCAAUCCAUGCAUCAGGUGUGCCUUGGCAUGAUGAAUGGAUGCCCCAAAAGUCAGGUCAAUUCGACCAUCAUGUGGGCUCCACCACUUGAAUUUGUCUGGUGUUUGGGCAUUCUCCAUUGUUUCUUUUGGGGUGGCAUACCUGAUGAAUGGAUUGACCUGAUGUUUCAGUUCCCAAGUCUCACCUGAUGGACGGCUUGAAUCGCACAGACAGACCAUAUGAGCCAGAUUGUUGCUAGGCCUACCACACCCUUCGGGAAUCUGAUUCCAAUGUAGGGAAGUUACACAAUAUCCUCCAUUGGUAGUGGGCCCUCACUGUGUUCAACCUGCCUCCCACUCCUCACGUGCAAGGGGAAUGGCAGAUCAGGCCGUCCAAUUAGUGAGCCCGACCAACCACAACUCAAAAUCUACUCGCUCACAUGCUUCCACGGACGUCCUUCAAAGAGACGGUGAACGGGACCAAUCUGAUGAACGGCUCUGAUCUCACACACGUGCCCGGGGGAGUAAAUGGUCGCUCUUCCUUGUUGCUCUGAUCCAGCACAAUCCCAUUCACAUCUCUCUCUCUCUCUCUCUCUCUCUCUCUCGUAGGUGGUUCAAAUUUUCGAAUACCCACACGAAGAAAGCCCGGGAAGAGAGACGUCUCUCUCUCUCUCUCUCUCUCUCUCUAAACAGUGAAAUGGAGAAGAGUAUCAAAACCUUCACUCUCCUACAAACCGUAGCUGCUGCUGGAGUCUUUUCUGCCGUCUCCUUCUGGUAUGGAUUCAUGUUUGGAAGAGAAUCUGCUCGUAAAGAGCUCGGGCAUCUCAUUGAAGACCUCCGCCGCGGCAAUGCCGACACUGAAGACAUGGCACAGAAUCCCUAAAUCAGUUCCUUUUCCACCGACAAGUAGGGCUUGCAAUUCCUUUGCUCAAUUCCAUUGCUUGUCUUUUUGGCGUCGCUUGUAAUAGGAUUGUAGUUUUUUAGUAGGUACCGAUUCUGUGUAGAGAAUUUGAUGUUUGAGAAAGAGGUGCGGAUAUCGAAGAAGACAUUUGUUGUAUCACAUGGAAAUUAUGGAAUGAAUAUGUUAUUUUAUUUGGCUUUUA